UACGGAGGGAGCUAGCGUUGUUCGGAAUUACUGGGCGUAAAGCGCACGUAGGCGGCUUUGUAAGUUAGAGGUGAUAGCCUGGAGCUCAACUCCAGAAUUGCCUUUAAGACUGCAUCGCUUGAAUCCAGGAGAGGUGAGUCGGAAUUCCGAGUGUAGAGGUGAAAUUCGUAGAUAUUCGGAAGAACACCAGUGGCGAAGGCGUCUCACUGGACUGGUAUUGACGCUGAGGUGCGAAAGCGUGGGGAGCAAACAGGAUUGAGAUACCCUGGUAG
rnacentral:rRNA from 1 species